rnacentral:rRNA from 1 species
AGAGUUUGAUCCUGGCUCAGAUUGAACGCUGGCGGCACGCCUAACACAUGCAAGUCGAGCGGCAGCGAGGUGUGUAGCAAUACAUACUGUCGGCGAGCGGCGGACGGGUGAGUAAUACGUAGGAACCUACCCUAAAGAGAGGGACAACCUGGGGAAACUCGGGCUAAUACCUCAUGUUCUCGAGAGAGGAAAAGGUGCCUUGUUGAAAGACAAGGUGUUGCUUUAGGAAGGGCCUGCGUCCGAUUAGCUAGUUGGUGAGAUAAAAGCUUACCAAGGCGAGGAUCGGUAGCUGGUCUGAGAGGACGGCCAGCCACACUGGGACUGAGACACGGCCCAGACUCCUACGGGAGGCAGCAGUGGGGGAUAUUGGACAAUGGGGGCAACCCUGAUCCAGCGAUGCCGCGUGGGUGAAGAAGGCCUUCGGGUUGUAAAGCCCUUUAGGCGGGGAAAAAGGCAGUAGUCCGAAUAAGGCUAUUGAUUGAUGGUACCCGCAGAAUAAGCACCGGCAAACUCUGUGCCAGCAGCCGCGGUAAUACAGAGGGUGCGAGCGUUAAUCGGAAUAACUGGGCGUAAAGGGCGCGUAGGCGGUUGAUUAAGUGGUAGGUGAAAGCCCCGGGCUUAACCUGGGAAGUGCCUAUCAAACUGAUUAACUGGAGUGCAGGAGAGGGCGGUAGAAUUUCCGGUGUAGCGGUGAAAUGCGUAGAGAUCGGAAGGAAUGCCGGUGGCGAAGGCGACUGCCUGGCCUGACACUGACGCUGAGGCGCGAGAGCGUGGGGAGCGAACAGGAUUAGAUACCCUGGUAGUCCACGCUGUAAACGAUGAAGACUAGAUGUAGGUGGGGGAACUCAUCUGUAUCGAAGCUAACGCGAUAAGUCUUCCGCCUGGGAAGUACGGCCGCAAGGUUGAAACUCAAAUGAAUUGACGG